rnacentral:rRNA from 1 species
UACGGAGGGAGCUAGCGUUGUUCGGAAUUACUGGGCGUAAAGCGCGCGUAGGCGGCUUUGUAAGUUAGAGGUGAAAGCCCGGGGCUCAACCCCGGAACUGCCUUUAAAACUGCAUCGCUUGAAUCCGGGAGAGGUGAGUGGAAUUCCGAGUGUAGAGGUGAAAUUCGUAGAUAUUCGGAAGAACACCAGUGGCGAAGGCGGCUCGCUGGACCGGUAUUGACGCUGAGGUGCGAAAGCGUGGGGAGCAAACAGG